GUUCAUCACUCCGAAGAGGCAGAAAAUCACGAAGGAUGGAGCCUGGACUGCAGCUGAUGACGGGCAGGAGUUGGACAGAAAGCAUCAGAGACUAAGUCAAAGGUUGAUUGGAAGAUCUUCGACCAGUAAGUGCCAUGUUUUUUGUAUGUUGGCCGCCGCGCCGUUGCUUU